CUCGGUGGUUAUAGAGAGAGGGUCACACCUGUUCCCAUUCCGAACACAGAAGUUAAGCCUCUCAUCGCCGAUGGUACUGCAUGGGUAGCUGUGUGGGAGAGCAGGACGCUGCCGGGG
rnacentral:rRNA from 1 species